rnacentral:rRNA from 1 species
AUAUGGAGUUACCACCCUGAAUAUGCCUAAGCUCAACUGAUCUCAGAAGCUAAGCAGAUUUGGACCUGGUCAGUACUUGGAUAGGAGACCACCUGGGAAUACCAGGUGCUACAGGCU